UAGAGCACCUUUGGGAUGUUGUGAAAGAGGAGUAUAAUGAAUAUGCUGCUGACAAAUCUGAAGCAACUGCCUGAUACUAUCAUGUCAGCAUGUAGCAGAAUCUGUUGGGACACAGUUUUGGUUAUCUGCCAAGGGUGAAUGAUGGAUGAGGUAAGCGGCAUCUAAUUCCAUUGGACCGGGAAGAUUCCCCUUUCUAAAAGUUCAUCCAACAGAGCUUGUGAACUAAGAAGAUACAUAUAUGGUGGCUAUAUUGUUUGUUUUGGACAUUAUCUAUUUAUAUUGCCGAAGUAGGCCAGUUUAUUUUUCCAAUUUCAAACAAAGUUUCCAUUUAUUUUCUGAGCAGGUGGAUAUAUUGUUUGUUUUUGAGAGUAUUUUUUUUUUUUGCCGAAGUAGAUCUUUUUUGGUUUGUGUUUUGAUGCAAAGUUUUUUGUUGGUUUUCUGAGCAGAUCCUGUCCCUGAAUUCUAAGUUCCCUGGGAACUCCCAUGAUGCCCAUGUCAUUAGACAAUCAGGGAUAUGGCAAAGAUUAGGAACGAUGGAAGACCAAGACAUGGCUAUUGGGAGACCGUGGAUAUCCUUGCUCACCCUGGCUUAUGACUCCUUACAGUAAACCCAGGCCAGGACCACAGUCCGCAUUUAACUCCGCGCUUACUGCCACUAGACAGCCGGUGGAGCGCAUGAUUGGUGUUCUUAAAGGGCGUUUUCGUAUGCUCCACCGCACUGGUGGCGACAUCAUGUAUUCGCCGGAGAUGAUGUUGCCGUUGGAGAUCCCACAACUUUUGCGGCCAUUCUGGCCAGCAUGCGCCAGCACCUGGAAGCCUUGCUGGAUAAUGUCUCACAGCUGCAAAAAUUUGGAUAAAAUAAAAACAUUUAAAAAAAAAAGUUUAAAAAGUUAAAUGCCC